GUUGGCCCAGAAGUUCAUUCGAGUUUUUCCAUUUUCUUAUGAAAAAUCUGAGUGAAAUUUUUGGCUAA
rnacentral:miRNA from 1 species